rnacentral:rRNA from 1 species
GUGAGGAAUAUUGCGCAAUGGAGGCAACUCUGACGCAGCCAUGCCGCGUGCAGGAAGAAGGCGCUACGCGUUGUAAACUGCUUUUAACCGGGAAGAAACCCCAGGACGUGUCCUGGGUUGACGGUACCGGAGGAAUAAGCACCGGCUACCUUCGUGCCAGUAGCCGCGGUAAUACGAAGGGUGCAAGCGUUAUCCGGAUUCAUUGGGUUUAAAGGGUGCGUAGGCGGAGCGUUAAGUCAGUGGUGAAAUCCUGCAGCUUAACUGUAGACUUGCCAUUGAUACUGGCGAUCUUGAGUGCGCUUGAAGUGGGCGGAAUGUGCCGUGUAGCGGUGAAAUGCUUAGAUAUGGCACAGAACACCAAUUGCGAAGGCAGCUCACUAAGGCGAUACUGACGCUGAGGCACGAAAGCGUGGGGAUCGAACAGGAUUAGAAACCCCAGUAGUCC